rnacentral:rRNA from 1 species
UACGGGGGGUGCGAGCGUUGUCCGGAAUCACUGGGCGUAAAGGGCGCGUAGGUGGUUUGAUAAGGGUGUGGUGAAAGUCCGGGGCUCAACCCCGGAUCUGCCGUGCCGACUGUCAAACUCGAGGGCUGUAGAGGCAGACGGAAUUCCGGGUGUAGCGGUGAAAUGCGUAGAUAUCGGAAGGAACAUCAGUGGCGAAAGCGACUUCCUGGACCAAUACUGACGCUCAUGUGCGAAAGCGUGGGGAGCAAACAGG